GCGGAUGUGGUGGAAUUGGUAGACACGCCAUCUUGAGGGGGUGGUGAGCUAACGCUCGUGGGGGUUCAAGUCCCCCCAUCCGCACCA
rnacentral:tRNA from 1 species